AAAGACGGUCUUGCUGUCACUUAUAGAUGGAUCCGCGCUGCAUUAGCUAGUUGGUAAGGUAACGGCUUACCAAGGCAACGAUGCAUAGCCGACCUGAGAGGGUGAUCGGCCACACUGGAACUGAGACACGGUCCAGACUCCUACGGGAGGCAGCAGUAGGGAAUCUUCCGCAAUGGGCGAAAGCCUGACGGAGCAACGCCGCGUGAGUGAUGAAGGUCUUCGGAUCGUA
rnacentral:rRNA from 1 species